rnacentral:rRNA from 1 species
UACAGAGGUCUCAAGCGUUGUUCGGAUUCAUUGGGCGUAAAGGGUGUGUAGGUGGCGCCGUAAGUCGGGUGUGAAAUUUCGGAGCUUAAUUCCGAAACUGCAUUCGAUACUGCGGUGCUUGAGGACUGGAGAGGAGACUGGAAUUCAUGGUGUAGCAGUGAAAUGCGUAGAUAUCGUAAGGAAGACCAGUGGCGAAGGCGGGUCUCUGGACAGUUCCUGACGCUGAGGCACGAAGGUCAGGGGAGCAAACGGG